GAGAUGUAGGUCAGUGAUGAAGUACCCCUGGGAUCAAUCACCAGUGCCAAAAUAAUAGUAAUAAUAAUAAUAAUAACAACAACAAAACUAUGUUACGAGGCAUUAUCAGACAAAAGUCUUUUCUCAAACAGAAAAUCAAGAAAUGGCAGAAUAAGAAAAUGUUUAGAGGUAAAUAACAAGAGAAAGUAAGCAACAAGAAGAUUAAAUAAGUUAGAAUAGGUCAAAUGAACUUGAAACUGUUCAUUUGACCUAUUUUUCCAAAGAAGAUACACAAAGGGCCAAUAAGUACCUGAAGAUACUCAAUAUCACUAAUUGUUAAGGAAACAAAUCAAAACCACAAGAUACCACAUUAUAUCCAUAAGGAUAACUACUAUUAAAAAAUAACAAGCCAUGGGGCUGAGGUUGUGGCUCAGUGGUAGAACACUCACCUCCCACGUGCGAGACCCUGGGUUCGACCCUCAGCACCACAUAAAAAAAAUAAAUAAGUGAAAUAAAGGUGUUGUGUCCAACUACAACUAAAAAAUAAAUAUUUUUACAAAAUUAACAAGCCAAGAAUGGUGGUGCAUGCCUGUAAUCCAGGCUAUUCAGGAAGCUGAGGCAGGAGGAUUGUGAGUUCAAAGCCAGCCUUAGCAAAAGCAAGACACUAAACAACUCAGUGAGACCCUGUCUCUUAAAAAAAACAAAAACAAAAAAAAACAAGAUAGGGCUGAGGAUGUGGCUCAGUGGUUGAGUGCCCUGAGUUCAAUCCCCAGUAACCUUGCCCCCCCCCGCAAAAAAAAAAAAAAAACAGUUUGAGGCCAGCCUCAGCAACUUAGUGAGACCCUGUAUCAAAAUAAUAAAUAAAAAAUAAGAGGGUUGGGGGUGUUUUUCAGUGGUUAAGCACCCCUGGAUUCAAUCCCUGGUACCAAAAUAAAAUAAAAUAAAGGACUGGGGUUUUAACACAGUAGAGCACUUGCCCGGCACAUUAAAGGCCCUGGGCUUAGCCCCAGCACUGCAAAAACAACAACAACGAGUGUUAGUGAGGAUGCGG
rnacentral:lncRNA from 1 species